rnacentral:rRNA from 1 species
CAUGUCCUUUUGAUUUUAAUUUAAGGUCUAAUCUGCUCAAUGAUUAUUUAAAUAGCCGCAGUAUUUUAACUGUGCAAAGGUAGCAUAAUAAUUAGCUUCUUAAUUAGGGGCUUGUAUGAAUGAUUGGACGAGAAAAUUUCUGUCUCCUUUUAAUUUUUUUUUGAAUUUUAUUUUUAAGUUAAAAAGCUUAAAUUUUUAUAAAAGACGAGAAGACCCUAUAGAGUUUUAUAUUUUUAAUUUAUUGAUGUUUAGAAAUUUCUUUAUUUUUUUAGGUAUUUAGUUGGGGUGACUUGGAGAUAAAAAUAAUUCUUCAAAUAUUUAAUUGAUGAUUUUUAAAUUGAAAAUCUAGUUUUUUAAAUUUAAAAUUAAUUACCUUAGGGAUAACAGCGUAAUUUUUCUUUAAAGCUCUUAUUGAAAGGAAAUUUUGCGACCUCGAUGUUGGAUUAAAAUUAAUUUUUGGUGCAGUAACUUAAAAAUUAGGUCUGUUCGACCUUUAAAAUUUUACAUGAUCUGAGUUUAAACCGGCGUAAGCCAGGUUGGAUUCUAUCUUUAGAAUUUAUUAUAUAUUUUAGUACGAAAGGACCAAAUAUACAUUAUAUAUUAAUUG